GGCAAAGUGCCAGAGUGGUUAAUGGGUGAGACUCGAAUCAUCACUUUCACAGUGUUUGAAAACAACGAUAUCUCAUGACUUCGGUCGCGCAGGUUCGAGUCCUGUCUUUGUCG
rnacentral:tRNA from 2 species